ensembl:misc_RNA Metazoa_SRP Metazoan signal recognition particle RNA
GCCAGACAUGGUGGGGCAUGCCUGUAGUCCCAGCUAAUUGGGAGGCUGAGGUGGGAGGAUUGCUUGAGCCCAGGAAUCCUGGGUUGUAGUGUGCUAUACUAAUCAGGUGUCUGCACUAAGUUUGGCAUCAACACAGUGACCUCCCAGGAGCAGGGGACCACCAGGUUGCCUAAGGAGAGGUGAACUGGUCCAGGUCGGAAACAGAGCAGGUCACAACUCCUGUGCUGAUCAGCAGUGGGAUCACACCUGUGAAUAGCCACUGCACUCCAGCCUGGGAAACAUAGUGAGACCUCAUCUCUA